GCCUCCCAUUAAGUGAGUGAUAAUGAGUCCAUUAGUUUAAUAAUCACUGGAGGCCCAAAGGCCUGGUGCUUAUUGACUAAUGAAAUUAUCAUUCAUAAUAUGAUCAUUUGGUUGAGUCUUUCUAAUGGUGGUCAGGUUGGCCGGCCAAAGUCGGGCCUGAUCAUUUAUUGAUCUGAUUCACCAAAUCAAGUCAUGUUAAUGGUUGGACCUAACCAGAUCUUUUCAGUAGAGGCCAAAGCCUACUGAUUAGGUUCUGGGGCAAAAUCCAUUACUAAAAAUUAUUUAGAGAAACAACUGGUUAUGAACCUACCCAU
rnacentral:lncRNA from 1 species